rnacentral:misc_RNA from 1 species
GGAAGUAAAAGUCCGUAACAAGGUUUCCGUAGGUGAACCUGCGGAAGGAUCAUUCAUAAUAAAGUGUUUUAUGGCACUUUUUAAAAAUCCAUAUCCACCUUGUGUGCAAUGUUAGAUCUCGUCAAUCUUGGCGAGAUUUUUAUACAUCAACUCAUUCUUUAACUAAUUUGUCUGAAAAAUAUUAUGAAUACUUAAUUCAAAAUACAACUUUCAACAACGGAUCUCUUGGCUCUC